UAAAGAAUUUCGGUAUGGGAUGGGGAUGCGUUCCAUUAGUUAGUUGGCGGGGUAACGGCCCACCAAGACAACGAUGGAUAGGGGUUCUGAGAGGAAGGUCCCCCACAUUGGAACUGAGACACGGUCCAAACUCCUACGGGAGGCAGCAGUGAGGAAUAUUGGUCAAUGGACGAGAGUCUGAACCAGCCAAGUAGCGUGAAGGAUGACUGCCCUAUGGGUUGUAAACUUCUUUUAUAUGGGAAUAAAAUGUUCCACGUGUGGGAUUUUGUAUGUACCAUAUGAAUAAGGAUCGGCUAACUCCGUGCCAGCAGCCGCGGUAAUACGGAGGAUCCGAGCGUUAUCCGGAUUUAUUGGGUUUAAAGGGAGCGUAGGUGGAUUGUUAAGUCAGUUGUGAAAGUUUGCGGCUCAACCGUAAAAUUGCAGUUGAAACUGGCAGUCUUGAGUACAGUAGAGGUGGGCGGAAUUCGUGGUGUAGCGGUGAAAUGCUUAGAUAUCACGAAGAACUCCGAUUGCGAAGGCAGCUCACUGGACUGCAACUGACACUGAGGCUCGAAAGUGUGGGCAUCAAACAGGAUUAGAUACCCUGGUAGUCCACACAGUAAACGAUGAAUACUCGCUGUUUGCGAUAUACAGUAA
rnacentral:rRNA from 1 species